CCAUUGGUGGUGUAUGGCACACACACAGUCACCUUGUAAAGCCUUUCCAUUUAAUAAAUAGUGAUUGAGUCCGGGGUUUGAUUCCCCGCUGGUGCA